rnacentral:rRNA from 1 species
AGAGCGAACGCUGGCGGCAGGCCUAACACAUGCAAGUCGAACGGACCCUUCGGGGUUAGUGGCGGACGGGUGAGUAACACGUGGGAACGUGCCUUUUGGUUCGGAAUAGCUCCUGGAAACGGGUGGUAAUGCCGAAUGUGCCCUUCGGGGGAAAGAUUUAUCGCCAUUAGAGCGGCCCGCGUCUGAUUAGCUAGUUGGUGAGGUAAUGGCUCACCAAGGCGACGAUCAGUAGCUGGUCUGAGAGGAUGACCAGCCACAUUGGGACUGAGACACGGCCCAAACUCCUACGGGAGGCAGCAGUGGGGAAUCUUGCGCAAUGGGCGAAAGCCUGACGCAGCCAUGCCGCGUGAAUGAUGAAGGUCUUAGGAUUGUAAAAUUCUUUCACCGGGGACGAUAAUGACGUACCCGGAGAAGAAGCCCCGGCUAACGUUCGUAGCCAGCAGCCGC